rnacentral:SRP_RNA from 1 species
GCCAGGUGUGGUGGUGAGCGCCUGUAGUCCCAGCUACUGGGGAGGCUGAGGCAGGAGGAUUGCUUGAGCCUAGGAAGUUGAGGCUGCAGUGAGCUAUGAUUGUGUCACUGCACUCCAGCCUGGUCAACAGAGCAAGACCCUGUCUCUA